rnacentral:RNase_P_RNA from 1 species
AAAGUAGGCUGUCUUAUCGUCUCAAUUGUAUUGGGAUAGGAAAGUCCGGACAUCAUAGAGUAGUAUAGCGGAUAACGUCCGUCCAGCGUGAGUUGAGGACCAGUGCAACAGAAAGCAAGUACAGUUCGGCUGUAGUGAAACCAGGUAAACUCUAUACGAUGCAAUGCCAUGUACAUUGGAGCUUGAGGGUUACUCGCCCGAUCCAAGGGGUAGGCAGUUGGAUUCCACGAGUAAUUGUGGAACUAGAUAAAUGAUAAGAACCCGCAUUUGCGGUGACAGAAUCCGGCUUAUAGGCCUACUUUUUUU